GGAGUUUGGACCGUGUCUCAGUUCCAAUGUGGCCGUUCAUCCUCUCAGACCGGCUACUGAUCGUCGCCUUGGUAGGCUCUUACCCUGCCAACCAGCUAAUCAGACGCGGGCCCAUCCUGUACCACCGGAGUUUUUCACACAAGAGGAUGCCCCCUCGUGUGCUUAUGCGGUAUUAGCAGUCAUUUCUAACUGUUAUCCCCCUCGUACAGGGCAGGUUACCCACGCGUUACUCACCCGUCCGCCACUCAGUCACAAAAGGUUCACCCGAAGGAUCUCCCUAAGUGCUUCGUUCGACUUGCAUGUGUUAAGCACGCCGCCAGCGUUCAUC
rnacentral:rRNA from 1 species